CUAUACAUGCAGUCGAGCGAGAAGGGCGACUUUCUUAACAGGAAGCCACCUGGAGAGCGGCGAACGGGUGAGUAACACGUAGGUGACCUGCCCCGGAGAGCGGGACAACCAUGGGAAACGAUGGCUAAUACCGCAUAAGCUCACGGAAGUUAGAGGUUGAGUGAGAAAAGGCAGCAAUGCGCUUCGGGAGGGGCCUGCGGCCCAUCAGCUAGUUGGUGAGGUAACGGCCCACCAAGGCGAAGACGGGUAGGGGGCCUGAGAGGGUGGUCCCCCACAUGGGCACUGAGAGACGGGCCCGACUCCUACGGGAGGCAGCAGUAAGGGAUAUUGCGCAAUGGGCGAGAGCCUGACGCAGCAACGCCGCGUGCCCGACGACGGCCUUCGGGUUGUAAAGGGCUUUUCUGGCUGAUGAGGAAGGACGGUAGGCCAGGAAGAAGUAUCGGCUAACUACGUGCCAGCAGCCGCGGUAAAACGUAGGAUGCAAGCGUUAUCCGGAGUUACUGGGCGUAAAGGGCGUGCAGGCGGCUGAGGAAGUCGGACGUGAAAGCUCCCGGCUCAACCGGGAGGGGCCGUUCGAAACUGGUCGGCUGGAGGGCAGCAGAGGAGCGUGGAAUUCCGGGUGGAGCGGUGAAAUGCGCAGAGAUCCGGAGGAACACCAGAGGCGAAAGCGGCGCUCUGGGCUGCACCUGACGCUGAGGCGCGAAAGCAUGGGGAGCGAACGGGAUUAGAAACCCCGGUAGUCCAUGCCGUAAACGAUGUCGACUAGGUGUUGGGAGGACCGCUCUCAGCGCCGGAGCGAACGCGCUAAGUCGACCGCCUGGGGAGUACGGUCGCAAGGCU
rnacentral:rRNA from 1 species